rnacentral:rRNA from 1 species
UACGGGGGGGGCAAGCGUUGUUCGGAAUUACUGGGCGUAAAGGGCGCGUAGGCGGCCGCCUAAGUCAGACGUGAAAUCCCUCGGCUCAACCGGGGAACUGCGUCUGAUACUGGGUGGCUUGAAUUCGGGAGAGGGAUGCGGAAUUCCAGGUGUAGCGGUGAAAUGCGUAGAUAUCUGGAGGAACACCGGUGGCGAAGGCGGCAUCCUGGACCAACACUGACACUGAUGAGCGAAAGCCAGGGGAGCAAACGGG